ACCGAACGAACUGUACAGUUCAGUAACGUAACACUCUGCCAGAGCGCCCGCCAUUUUGAUAAAAAAUAAACGCGCGCCUUUUUUUGUGACAGGUUUGUUAUUCAAUGUAUGAAUAACUUGGAUGGAAUUUAAUGGAAAUAUUGUGACGCAUAAAUUUAUUGAGAAAUAGAAAGUCGGGUAGUUUUUCUAGGUGCUGGUGUAUAUAGUGGAGGUAAAUGUGUACUGCCUGGGGAUGCUGAAGGGUGGAUUGAGUAAUGACGGGUUUCUUUGCAUAAGUAAAAAUGAAUGAAGGGCUCCGGAGUUGGUUGUCGCGGCAUCAGUUGGAUAACAGCGCCAUUCAUGCUUAUAGUAAUGUGCACUGGGCACUUGAGGUUCAUCUUGUGUGACUUGUAUGCCAAAAGGGGAUGAAAGAUUGCAUUGUGCUGUGUGUCCAAUCGACUCGUCACGCUCCUUCUAAUUGCUAUUGAUUUAUUUGUUUUUUUUUUAUCUCAUUAAGAAAUUUUUUGUUUAGGUGCUUUUUUUUAAAAAAUUAGCUUUCGCUCCAUGAUACUGAAAAUCGCAGCCAUUCGAUAAUUUAUUUUUUCUUCUUUAUAGUUUAUAAAUAAAUAAAUUAUAAAUAAAAAAGAAAUUUUUUAAAAAGAUAAUUCUUUGACGAUUGUUAGGAUGGAAGAAACACCCGAUUGCCGAGGGCGAAAUUCUUACUUUGUCAAGAGCUUUCGCGAACACUGUGUGUCUAUUAAUGACGACAACAUUCUCUAAUUAUGAGUUUAUUUAAUAAACUCUCAUUGCCGAGCGUUGUUAAUUAAAAUAAUUAAAUAAUCUUUAUAUUUACGGUAGU